rnacentral:rRNA from 1 species
GUGGGGAAUUUUGGACAAUGGGCGCAAGCCUGAUCCAGCAAUGCCGCGUGCAGGAAGAAGGCCUUCGGGUUGUAAACUGCUUUUGUACGGAACGAAACGGUCCGGGUUAAUACCCUGGGCUAAUGACGGUACCGUAAGAAUAAGCACCGGCUAACUACGUGCCAGCAGCCGCGGUAAUACGUAGGGUGCAAGCGUUAAUCGGAAUUACUGGGCGUAAAGCGUGCGCAGGCGGUUUUGUAAGACAGGCGUGAAAUCCCCGGGCUCAACCUGGGAAUUGCACUUGUGACUGCAAGGCUGGAGUGCGGCAGAGGGGGAUGGAAUUCCGCGUGUAGCAGUGAAAUGCGUAGAUAUGCGGAGGAACACCGAUGGCGAAGGCAAUCCCCUGGGCCUGCACUGACGCUCAUGCACGAAAGCGUGGGGAGCAAACAGGAUUAGAAACCCGGGUAGUCC